GAAUACAAUAAUUCGUUCUGAGCCUCUGGCUUUCCAAAAGAUUUCGACUUGCUGAGAUUAAUUUGCAAAGGACUGUCAUUUUCCCCUCUAAAUAUUCAAAGUAAGCCCCUGAAUUUCUUCAUCUUCUCAUUUAAUUCAAGUUUUUUUUGGGUCUUAAUUCGAAUCAUGCCUUUGUUCGGUAUAAACAACGCUGGAAUUAAUGUAUUAGGUUUAUACUUUUUGUAUCUUGUUGAUGAAAAACUCUCAUACUCGAUUUUGAUUAUGGCAGUAGGCUAUGUGUUUGUUUAUAUGCUUGUAUGAAAUAUGGGACAAUUUUUUUUUUGUGUGUCUGUGCCUGUUUGAUAGCAAAAUGUUGUUUAAUUCUAAAGUUGCAAUCAAUUAUAAGCUUCAGUUUCUAUGCAUUCAUAAUUCUGCUAUUACCUCUCUGGAAAUUUUGUGUAUUUUUUUUGAGAUUCUUUUAUGUCCUUCUAUGUGGGUGGGAAUGCAAUAUGCUUAAUCUUGUUUAUAGUAGUGGAUACUAGAGGUGAAGCUACAGUUACUGUGCCGUAUAUAUGUGUAUGUGUGUGUGAAAGAGAGAGUAAUAGGCGAAGAUACGUUUUAUGUCGCACUUAGUUCUUCUUGGGAAUCUUCUUAAAUGAUUUCUAGGAUUUUAUCUGUGCACAAACUUAAUUAUCAUCCUCUCUGCUUGAGCCUUCUCCGUUCUUUCAUAUUAAUGGAAUUGUGCUCCAAUGUUAUUGGAUGACAUUUACUUCAUUUCACUGUCCAGUAUUGGAUUUUUUUUUGGCUGCAUCUCUGUAUUGAGUUCUUUUGGAAUUUAUAUAAUCUGGGUUCAAAUUAGUAGAGUAAGAUUACAUUUUUUACUUCUAUAAAAAUUGGGUAAAAACAACAACUUAUUAUCUUGAUACUAAACUGUAUUAUUUUUUAUUUUGGUCAUUUGAGAUAAAUGUGGUUUCCUUUUGUGUGCUGAGAUAUUAGAACGAAGUGUCUGGACUAGAAACAAAAGAAUAAAUAUCAUUCCAUAAGCAAAGAUUACAAGAAUCAUACAAGGAAAAAGAGUCCAGCAAAUGGUGAUCAACAUUAAUAGAUGAUGCAAAUCCAGACAAAGAAAAAUAAUGUAGCAGGUCGACGCGGCUAAUGAAGAGGAAAAAUUUCCGUGUCACACUAACAUUGAUUUUCUAUCUAUUCUCUUCAUUGGCUCCUUCUCCGCCAUCGUUAACGCCGCCACCCAGCUCUCCUCCAUAUUAGUGAAGCCACCUUUGUCAAAUCUAAUACCUCAACCACCACAAUUUUGUCGUCAAAUUCUACUCCUCUGUUUUACUUUGACACUUGGUCCUCUAUCCUCUCAGCCUUCUCUCUCUCUCUCUAUAUAUAUAUAUAUAUAUUAUAUAUAUAUCAAGCUUAUCUGUUUUCCCUUAGUUUCAAAUCCUCUCUUGAAUCAUGAAUCGAUACACUAUUCCUCAAUGUUAAAUUUUGCUUGUUACAUUUGGUGUUUCAAGCCUUGUGUGUAUGAAGCCUAUCACAAGCAUUGGAUCCUCUCUCAUGGUCUGAAAUAUAUGUUACAUAGUUUUAACCCAAAAUUAUUUGGGUUCAACCUACUCAAUAGGUUAUAUACUUUUGGUUUUUAACUAACCUAAAAGCAUAUACUCCCUCCAUUGCAAAAUAUAGUAUCUUUAUUGACUUUUUGAAGUCAAUUUGAGAUAUUUUCGAACUCAAAAUUGACAUAGAUUCAUUUGUUUUAGUCAAUAAAAUUAAGAAUAGUGUAAUAGUGUAAACUAUCUAAAAAGUACUACUAAUUAUAAGCUUUAUUGCUUCAUAACUUUAAUGAAUCUUGUCAAUUUGAGUUUAAAAAUGUCUCAAAUUGACUUUCAAAUGUCAAUAAUAAUCUUAUAAUUUGGAAAAAAACGAAGUAUUAAUAAUCUUAUAAUGUGAAAUGGACGGAGUAUUAUUUAACCCAAACCCAACCCAACCCAACCCAACCUAACCCAAACUAAAUUUUGCCAGGUCUAUAUGUAUGUAUAAUUCUUUUUGGGCUCACGGGAGAUACCCUAUGAAUUUUCUAACUUAGAUACCUAACUUUGUUAUACUAUGUAGUAAAUUAAAAGUAAUUGUAAUAUCUCUUUGAAUUUAGAAUAUUAGUUAGUCACGUUUUCACAUUUAAGCACAUAUUUGCUGUGUUAAAAAAGAAGAAGCCCACAUUUACUACACUUAUUAUUGUCUAUCCCCAUAUUUCUCAAAAUUAUGUAAUAUUAGAGGUUAUUUUAGAUACCCGAUUUGGGCUGCUAACAGACUAUCAAAGACUUCACCAUCAUCAUCUUUAAUUUUCUAUGUUUAAUCCAUGUAUAGUUAUUAGUUCACUGUUUGAUUUGUAUACUUUUUUCUUUAGUUCUAGCGAAGCUUUUACUGAUUAUUUUGAUUUAUAAUCCAUAAUUUUUUAAGGUGAUGAAUCAAAGGUCGUGCAGGUAAAGUUGAGGCAGUGCGCGAAAAAAUAGUUAUUAGUUCGGCUCAACAUUCUUAUUCAGCAAUAUAACUAUAAGGCGAAAUACCACAUGAACUUUGUCUAUCACCUGGUAUUGCAGUGAAGUUACAUGUAUGUUCAGGUACUAAAUUUUCAUGUUUCUCGAAUGUAAAAUUGAUUUUUAUAUCUGAAAGUACAAUAGUGCUCUAUAGAUUUCAUCCCAUUCUAGUGAAAAUUAAUGGUCGCUAAUAUACUAUAUUUUACAUUUUUAUUUUCAUUUCUUCUAAUUAGCUCUCCCUUCAAGCGAUCAAUAAUUCUAACUUUGACUGCUUAAGUACUUGCAUAUGCAAGCUUUUGACUCUGUCCCUAAUUUGAUUCGGUAUUUUCCACUUACAAGUCCUGUUCUCUUUACUCAAUUUAUGCUUCUUUUUUUGUUUUGUUUUGUUUUGGGUUGGGUGAUAAAAUUUGUACUCAUAACACUUGCAAUGCAAGCUUUUGUUUUCUUUCUUUCUUUUUCUGAUGUUACUUCAUUAUUUGUCUAUUUUGAUUGCAGCCAGCCUGCAAGGGUAGGCCUUUUUUAACAUCUCAUCUGCUGAAAUUUGCCGGUUAUCGGUUAUAUUCUACUGCUACCAGUUGUAUUCAGAUAUCAACUAAUGGAAGUGAGAGCAACAAUAGAGAGAUUGAUUUUGAGCUUCUGUUCCAAUCAUGC
rnacentral:lncRNA from 1 species